rnacentral:rRNA from 1 species
UACGGAGGGUGCAAGCGUUGUUCGGAAUCACUGGGCGUAAAGGGCGUGUAGGCGGCCUGUUAAGUCUGAUGUGAAAUCCCCCUCGCUCAACGAGGGAACUGCGUCGGAAAACUGGCAGGCUUGAGUACCGGAGAGGAAGGUGGAAUUCCUGGUGUAGCGGUGAAAUGCGCAGAUAUCAGGAAGAACACCAAUGGCGAAGGCAGCUCUCUGGGACGGUACUGACGCUGAGACGCGAAAAGCGUGGGGGAGCAAACAGG